rnacentral:lncRNA from 1 species
UCUGACUGUUAUGGAACUGAUUUACAGGAGACAGGACUAUUGCAAGGACAAAUAGUAGACCUGAAUUUGUAGAAUGAAAAAGGAAACUGCCUCCAUAAGCUUGAAUUAAUGGAGCUUGACCCAAGUAAAAUAUCAGGUAUGCAGGAUACUCUUUUUCAGUCAUUAAAAGAAAAAAAAAUGGGGAGUAAAACGCAAGACCAUAAAACUUCAGCUGAGUUGUUUUGAGUUGUUUUUUUUUUUUCUACUCACUCAUUUCUCUCAAGCUGCAGGUGAAAGAUUGAUUCUGGGGAGUAGAUGGCAAGAGUCAGGUUGGCUCUGUUCUGUGCUCAUCUGUGCUCAUUACCCAUAAUGACAUUUUUCUUAGCACAGGAAAUUGUGCCAUGAACGGCUUCACCCCAGGCAAGGACCCCAGCCCCGGAGACUGGUGACAUCACAAUGCCAAGUGUUCCACAACAGAACAGGGUUGGGGAGGCGUGGGGGGGGGGGGCAAUCACUGGGCAGCAACCUGCCCUUGGCUGAGACUCGAUAAAGUUUCCCAGGUGGAAGAUGUAGAAUCGAGGGGCUCCUGCUUUCCCUGGAAAAUGCUCUGUGGACAGAGCAGCAUUACCUCAGAUCUUCUUUGUUCUGUCCCAACUUUACAGGUGGAGGGCGACAUGACCUCCUCAACUGCCCCACCAUCCAGGACAUACAACCUCCUUAGGAGCUGGUGUGGAAUCCAAGUUGGAAAUGGGAGAUGUCCUUCUCCCAAACAUUCUCAUCCUCUGGUUACUGUGAAUGAUCAGAAAUGGACUGAUGGUCAAGAAGGUGAAGGACAAUAUCUUGGAGUAAGUCACCAGGUGAGGAGAUCUUUCCCUCAUGUUGACUAAAAUGCUCAGCGUUACAGUCCCUUAUCCAUAAAGGAGAACGUAGAGAGUGACCAAGGUGUCUACAUUCUUGGCCGCCCUGACCUCGGGCAUCACCCUGGAGGAGCAACCAGAUCCACUGAAGUUUUGGACCUGUCGGUGGUGUCUGUGAAGGACAAACACCUUGUAGCCGUUGGCCGUACUCAUGAGCCCCACAAAAAAGGGGUCCCGCAGGGAGAAGACCACCAUGUUUACCAGAGUGGUGACUGUAAUUGGACUACUGGAGGAGCAAUAUUAAAUAAUAAAUAUCAUUUGAAUAUUGGUGAGAUUGUGGGGUCUCUCCAAGUAUAUCAGUGUAGUUACCUCUAUCAGCAGACUGAGGACCCACGAGAAGAGGCAGGAGGGAAGGAUUCCUCUGGAUGAUUUGGCUUUGACCUAGGCCCACUGGCAUGUGCUGGGCCUGAUGGUGAUGUCCUGGAAGAUGCUCAGAAAGCAGGUGGUGGAGAUGACAAGGCCCCGGGCUACUCGGUAGAGGUAUAAGAGGAUUUUACAUCCAACCAAAUCCAGAAAGUUCUUCAGCCCCCAAGCUGACAUGGUCUCUGGGAUUCAAAGAGUGAGAAGGUUGAUGGUAUUAGCCAAUGCCAGCUGCACGAGGAUUAAAUCUGAAAGGUAUAUCUUGUGGCUGGUAAAGACCACGUGAGCACAAACCAGGAGAAGAAAGACAUUCCUCCAGAUGCCAAUAAUGAUCUGUAGCAGAAGGAGAAUGCCGUAAGACAUCUCACUAGCAUCCAUUCUCUGGGAUACACAGCAGGAACUUAGGUAGACUUCAUCCAAAGGAACAUGGUCUGCGGGAUGGGGAGGUUAGAAGUUCCAGUGGCAAGACAAACAUUCCCACAUAAACACACAACAAAACACAGAAAGACCAGUAGCUCAGGAUAAUAAUAAUUAUAAUAAUAAUAUUGGUAGUUGUUGAGCACUAACUAUGUGCCUGACACUGUGACAAGUGCUAGGGUGGUACAAGCAAAUCAUGCAGUGUUUGUGUUUGUAUCUAUUGGACCUGAUAUCAAAUUGUAAAAAUGCACAAAUCCCACAUAUGUUCCAAUUGUAUUCACAUAACCCACCUCUUCAUCAAACUAAAGAAAGAAGGGAUCUUAUUCUGGAGCCACAAAAUAUUUACUGAAUAUGGUGGCUGAUUGAAAACCACUGGUAAUAGAACAAGAGGCCCUGGUGUUUGUCCAAGGACAAGAACCCAGCUUAGAGGAUCGGGAGGUCUGAGCUCCAGACCUUGAGCUGCCUGCCAGUGUCAGAGGUGUAGAAUUCUGACUGGAGAAUCAGGCAUUCCACCAAAGUAUUCCAAGAGUUGGACAUGUAUCGUGGAUUAUGAGAACAAUAGAGAGUAGAGUUGGGCGACAAAGAGGUUCAUUGGCUCCAAAGGCUGCUGGGUCCCAGAACUAUAGCCCAGAAUUGGCACUGUGCUGCAGAUAACAGAUCCUGAAUGUCAAUCACCUUUCCAUGCCCUUCAGUGAAUCAUGUUGUAGGUACUUGUUCAUUCCAAGCGCUUAGUACAGUGCUCUGCAUGUAGUAAGCGCUCAAUAAAUACUAUUGAAUGAAUGAAUUGAAUUAAUGAAUGAAUAUAUUAAUUGGUCACUUGGUGUUUUCUGAAACUCAGUCUCAACAUGUAUGGGUAUUGGUUUAUUAUUCCAUUAAUAAUUAUCUUUGCAUUGUUUUAUCUGUAAAUUAGCCCUAUUUUUUCAUAGGAGAAUUUUACCACUAGUGAUAUAGUCUCCCUCUCCUAUAAUCAAUGCCUUACCAUGGCAUGGGAGUUUGCAGAUGCCAAUGAGGCUUAGAGUUAUUCCAUUGAGAGAUACUCUCACUAGGGUUACCCAUAAUGGAAAGGUCUAAGAUGAAGCAUUCGACAAAACUGAUUCACCUCUGCUAGGCAGCAGUGAUAUGGGAAAGAAUCAAAGGUGGAUGAUCAAAUGAUUAAAUUGUUGAUCAAAGAAAAUGGAAGAGACUCAAGUUUUUGCUGUGCAGAAGCAAUGGUAAAACACGUCUGUAUUUUUACCAAGGCAACUCUAAGGAUACACAUACCAGAAUGACUGCAGAUAUAGUGCAGGAAGAUGAGCCCCUCAGGUCAGAAGGCACUCAGCGAGCUACUGAGGUUGAUCAGACGAUGUCUCAAAAUAUCAUGGGUAUUUAUGAUGUAGCCAGAAUAGAGCCUUCGGACCUUCAGUCGCUGAUGUUGCUGUACAAGAAAUGAGUACCCGCAGCUGUAAAGAUACCCUGAAUAUUGGAACAUGGAAUAUGAACCAGGGAAAGCUGGAAAUAUUCAAGAAUGAAAUGACCCAGUUGAAGAUUGACAUCCUAGGAAUAAGCGAACUGAAAUGGACUGUUAUUGGGUAUUUCCAUUCAGAUCAGCAAAAUAUCUACUGAUCCGCUCAUGCUGAAAAAAGAAGAAAUGGCGUAGUGGUAAAUCUGACAUAGAACUUACUAUGACAGUUAUUGGGUAUAAUGAUGUCAAUGAUAUUGGUUAGAUUCAGAGGAAAACAAUUCAGUAUUACAAUACUUGAGGAGUGUGCCCCAACAACAGGUGCAGAGCAAGAAGUAGAUUUUACAGUGAAGUCCAGAGAUAAAAACUGCAAGCAAGAUGUGUUGGUGAUCACUGGGGAUUGGAAUGCAAAAGUUAGUAAUGGAAUGGAAAUGAAGGUUGUUGGAAAAUAUGGCCUUGGAAAUCAGAAUCAAGCCCGAGACAGACACUGAUUUCUGUGAAUCAAAUGACUUUUUUAUUGCCAACACCUUCUCAUCCAAACUGGCCCCCACCAAUGGCUCCAGGGUCUCAAAGAGAGUGAGGCUGCAGCCCCCAGCCCCCAGCCCCCUGCCCUCCAUUCUCUAAGGGCAGGCUGAGGAGCCAUUGCAGGUGUAUGGAGCCUUCCCAGACUGAGCCCCCCUUUUCCUCUGCUUUUCCUUCCCUCCCCAUUGCUCCUACUCCCUCUCUGGGCCCUACCCCCUACCCCCAACCCAUAGUACUUGUG